UAAUAUUUUCAAGAUGAGGAGGACAGGUUUCCCUCGGCCAUUGGUUGCCCGGAUAUAUCACCAUACCUAGCUUCCAUCUUUUUGCCACGUAUUGCCGGCCCCCAUACGUACUCAACCCUAUAAAUCAAACCCUUACAUUUCAGAGUUGAAUCGUUUAAGAAAAAAUGCCAGACCAUCCACCACCACCACACGGCGGCCACGGUCACGCACCACCCCCAGGUCCGGGACACCACGAGCCUCCUCCGCCCCAUGGCCAUGCUCCUCCUCCGGGGCCUCAUGCACCUCCUCCGGGACCCCAUGCACCUCCUCCGGGACCCCAUGCACCUCCUCCGGAACCCCAUGCACCUCCUCCGGGACCCCAUGCACCUCCUCAUGAUCCACACAAGCCACAUGACUGUCACCACGGUCACCACCACCCAUGAACCGAACUAGUCAUGAGGCCACGAUCGAGAAGCUAGUCUCAGCAAGUUGUUAUCUAUUUAUCUUUGUGCCUGUAAUGUGAUCUAGCUGCGGUUGUAGUUCUGAGUUGCUGGGUUUACUGGCUUUGCUCCAUUGAUCUCAUCGUUAUGUAAUGACUAAAAUAUGAGGACUAUGUAUGUAUCCAAAAGAAGGCUGAUCAUAUAUGUAUAAUAAGAAGAGUACUGGCUUUGUGGUUUAUGUAUAAUCCGCUUGUGUAAAACUUCUUCUUUUAUCCGUCUAAAUGUGAUGUAUAAUCAGAAAAUAUGGCCAGUUUGUCAUCUUGACCAACCUGAACUUACAAACUAAUUAAUUAAGUCAAUCUCCCCAAUUUCAUCAAUCUUCAUUAGGAUUUCAUCACUAGCUCAUUCCUUCACAGAUAAUUAACCAUUUGCUCGAUUGCUCUUAACAAACUGUAAUAGCCAAGAGGCAAACGCAUCCAUCUAAAUUCUAAAAAGUUAUUAACACAGGCUAGGGGUAAAUUAUCCUUUGUUCAGACCAAUCUCACAGUUGAAGCGAUGAAUUGGCUAAAACAAAAGCCUACGGGCAGAAAAACAAAGCAUCUCUAUUCGUACGGAAGAAUGACUUCCAUAUAUAGUAAGCCUUAUAGUUAUAACACCGUAAGUGUAUAAGAAUAGGAAUUCAUAAACGCAAUAAGAAGAAGACCGUGAAAGAGAUCGAAGAUUAAAGCAGGCCUUAAUGUCUUGUAUAUUCUGUACAAAAUUUCAACAGCCAGAUUUUCUCGAUGCAUUCGUCAGCUUCUGUUUGUAACCUUUCUUCUGUCAAAUCCUCCAUGGCUUUUCACGAGCAAUAAUUCUUGCAAGGUCCCAUUAACAAGCCUCACGUACGUUGUUCUUAUCUCCUUUUCCUUAGCUCACCAAGAAUUCAACUAUUACCAAGUGCAGCAACUAGUUUCUGUGAUCGAUCUACGGAAAGUUAAAGUUAUUGCUCAAAAGAGAAAGAGAAAACGGAAGUUAAAGUUCCAUGCUGCCCUAGUUCAAGUACGCACUCAGUUAUGAUCUUGUGGUUCUUACAAUGGAUGAAUGGAUGAAGCAUUACCACACAAAUACUCAGAAGAGAAAAACAAAACAACCACAGUGCACGAUUAACAUGCUAGCUAGCUUUCAUUGUGUGCAAAUAUCCUGAGCUACCAUUCCACCAAAACAAGCUAAAUAAGUUUAUCCUUGUAUGGAUAUUAUGUGAAUCGAAAUAAUUGUAUAUUUGAUUCUUAGAUAUUAUGUGGCACCUAUUACAACGAAGCAUGUGCCAUAUUCUGAAGAUAAUGUCGACACAUCUGAAUCAUCUAGAGCCCGUACCGACACCUUUCUCCUAUAAAAUCAACUCCUACUAGCUUAAACUCUUCAACAGUUCGCCACAUCAAGAACAACUUUCUUUUUGUUUAUACAAGCUAGUAGUCUCACCAAGAAUUCGAAGAUGCAUCACGGUGAUCAUCACGGCGGACCACCACACCACGGAGGAGGUCCGGGAGGAGGUCCGGGAGGUCCAGGAGGCGGCCCUCAACAUGGUCAUGGUCAUCAAGGAGCUCCGGGAGGAGGGCAUGGAGGACCAGGAGGAGGAGGGCAUGGAGGGCAAGGAGGAGGAGGACACGGAGGACCAGGAGGAGGAGGACAUGGAGGAGGAGGAGGAGGAGGACGAGGGGGGAGGAGGAGGACAUGGAGGAGGAGGAGGAGGAGGACGAGGGAGGAGGAGGAGGAGGACAUGGAGGAGGAGGAGGACGACGGAGGGCAUGGUGGUCACUGAUCAUGGCGCUAGACUACGUAUACUACUUGUGGUGUACUAGCUGGCUGAAUAAGUCUCUCUAUGUGACUUCUGUAGUAUUGUUUGUGUGUUAUCAUUUCCUAGUUGGGUCGAUCAGAUCCUAGAUAGUGAAGCUAGCUAGGGGAGUCGAUCUUGUGUUUGGAGUCUGUUAAUUAAUGUAUGUGUAUGGAUGUGUAAUAAAACCAUACUAGCUAUGUAUUUGAUUCGAGGCUUAACAUAUAUUGCAUGCAGCUAUAUAUAUAUAUAUAUAUAUAAUAUCCUUAGAUGACUAAGAACAUAAGAAACAGAGCAGUACUAUUGAUGAUUUACAAGAUUCAAUUUGUAUAAGUGAUCUUUGGCUUGUCCUAAUUAACCAUCAAGCAAAGCGCUAAGAACGAACAUAUUAUAUAUACUGCCAGAUGAUCAAGCAACUUUGCAGAGGGAUCAUGACGAAAUGUCCAUCUAGCAGCUUAAAUGCUUAAUUAGAACAAUUUUGCAAAACAAACACAAACUUGUAUAAUACGGUACCGAAAAUAUAAGUAUAACCGUUUGAAAUGUCAAGUUUAUCAAUCUUAUGAAAUCGAAGUAUCGUAAAUCGAUAAUGAUCUUCUUCAAAACUAGAACGAGAAUGUAACGUGUCUAUAUGACACUAUAAAUGUCUACGAAAUCAUGCGUUAAGAACAUAAUAUUAUAUUCCUUCGUUUUUUACUAAAGAAUAUCAUUACCGUUAAGCUUUAAUUGACAUACGUACGAUUGUACUUUGUAGUGAUACAUCUAAUUAUAUUGGUCGUGUGGUGCCCUUAGUAUAUUAAAAGGAAAAAACUAAAGAGACCAAAAGGCCCAAAGGAAACCACAGAAAUUGUCAUAAAGGUACAAGUGCAGCCCAACUUUCNNNNNNNNNNNNNNNNNNNNNNNNNNNNNNNNNNNNNNNNNNNNNNNNNNNNNNNNNNNNNNNNNNNNNNNNNNNNNNNNNNNNNNNNNNNNNNNNNNNNNNNNNNNNNNNNNNNNNNNNNNNNNNNNNNNNNNNNNNNNNNNNNNNNNNNNNNNNNNNNNNNNNGUCCUGAUCAUCACCUUCCUUGCCUAUGCUUCCUUCCACGCCUCCAGGAAGCCCCCCAGCAUCGUCAAGAGUGUUCUUGGCCCCAAACUCCUGUCCAAUUCGAGCUCUUUCGACACCGGUUGGGCUCCCUUUAAUGGCCCUGAUGGCACUCACAGGCUUGGAGAACUUGAUCUUGCAUUUCUAUCUGCAUAUUCUAUUGGAAUGUAUUUUGCAGGGCAUGUUGGUGAUAGGAUUGAUUUGAGGUUGUUUCUUGCUUAUGGGAUGUUAGGGAGUGGAGUUUUGACUUGUCUUUUCGGGUUAGGUUAUUGGUGCAAUGUGCAUAUGUUGUGGUACUUUGUGGGUGUGCAAGUUGUGUGUGGGUUGUUUCAGUCAAUAGGGUGGCCUUCUGUUGUGGCAGUUGUGGGGAAUUGGUUUAGGGUUUAGACAGCGGCCAUCACACGCCGGCCACGGUCACGCACCACCCCCAGGUCCGGGACACCACGAGCCUCCUCCGCCCCAUGGCCAUGCUCCUCCUCCGGGGCCUCAUGCACCUCCUUCGGGACCCCAUACACCUCCUCCGGAACCCCAUGCACCUCCUCCGGGACCCCAUGCACCUCCUCAUGAUCCACACAAGCCACAUGACCCGCACCACGGUCACCACCACCCAUGAACCGAACUAGUCAUGAGGGAUCACGAAGCUAGCUAGUCUCAGCAAGUUGUUAUCUAUUUCUGCCUGUAAUGUGAUCUAGCUGCGCUUGUAGUUCUGAGUUGCUGGGUUUACUGGCUUUGCUCCAUUGAUCUCAUCGUUAUGUAAUGACUAAAAUAUGAUGACUAUGUAUGUAUCCAAAAGAAGGCUGAUCAUAUAUGUAUAAUAAGAAGAGUACUGGCUUUCUGGUUUAUGUAUAAUCCGCUUGUGUAAAACUUCUUCUCUGUUAUCGGUCUAAAUGUGAUGUAUGAUCAGAAAAUAUGGUCAGUUUGUCCUCUUGACCAACCUUAACUUACAAACUAAUUAAGUCAAUCUCCCCAAUUUCAUCAAUCUUUAUUAGGAUUUCAUCACUCAUUCCUUCACAGAUAAUUAACCACACAUCCAAGCUGCAUUUGCUCGAUUGCUCUUAACAAACUGUAAUAAUUAACCAAGAGGCAAACGCAUCCAUCUAAAGUCUAAAAAUUAAGUUAUUAACACAAGGUUAAAUUAUCCAUUGUUCAGACCAAUCUCACAGUUAGAGCGAUGAAUUGGCUAAAACAAAAACCUACGGGAGAAAAAGAAAGCAUGUCUAUUCAUACGGAUGAAUGACUUCCAUAUAUAGUAAGCCUUAUAGUUAUAACACCGUAAGUGUAUAAGAAUAGGAAUUCAUAAACACAAUAAGAAGAAGAUCGUGAAAGAGAUCGAAGAUUAAAGCAGGCCUUACUGUCUUACAUAUUCUGUACAACAUUUCAACUGCUAGAUUUUCUCGAUGCAUUCGUUAGCUUCUGUUUGUAACCUUUCUUCUGUCAAAUCCUCCAUAUACGAACUCAUGGCUUUUCACGAGCAAUAAUUCUUAAAAGGUCCCAUUAACAAGCCUCAAGUACGUUGUUCUUAUCUCCUUUUCCUUAGCUCACCAAGAAUUCAACUAUUCCCAAGUGCAGCAACUAGUUUCUGUGAUCGAUCUACGCAAAGUUAAAGUUAUUGCUCAAAAGAGAAAGAGAAAACGGAAGUUAAAGUUCCAUGCUGCCCUAGUUCAAGUACGCACUCAGUUAUGACCUUGUGGUUCUUACAAUGGAUGAAGCAUUACCAAACAAAUACUCAGAAGAGAAAAACAAAACAACCACAGUGCACGAUUAACAUGCUAGCUAGCUUUCAUUGUGUGCAAAUAUCCUGAGCUACCAUUCCACCAAAACAAGCUAAAUAAGUUUAUCCUUGUAUGGAUAUUAUGUGAAUCGAAAUAAUUGUAUAUUUGAUUCUUAGAUAUUAAGUGGCACCUAUUACAACGAAGCAUGUGCCAUGCAUUCUGAAGAUCAUGUCGACACAUCUUAAUAAUCUGGAGCCCGUACCGACACCUUUCUCCUAUAAAAUCAACUCCUACUAGCUUAAACUCUUCAACAGCUCGCCACAUCAAGAACAACUUUCUUUUUGUUUAUACAAGCUAGUAGUCUCACCAAGAAUUCGAAGAUGCAGCACGGUGAUCACCAAGGAGGAGGUCCGGGAGGUCCGGGAGGUCCAGGAGGAGGUCCGGGAGGUCCAGGAGGCGGCCCUCAACAUGGUCAAGGUCAUCAAGGGGGUCCGGGAGGAGGGCAUGGAGGACCAGGAGGAGGAGGACAAGGGGACCAGGAGGAGGAGGACAAGGAGGACCAGGAGGUGGAGGACAAGGAGGACCAGGAGGAGGAGGACAAGGAGGACCAGGAGGAGGAGGAGGAGGAGGAGGAGGACAUGGUGGUCACUGAUCAUGGCUCUAGACUACGUAUACUACUUGUGGUGUACUAGCUAGCUGAAUAAAAGUCUCUAUGUGACUUCUGUGUUAUCGUUUAUGUGUUAUCAUUUCCUAGUUGGGUCGAUGAGAUCCUAGAUAGUGAAGCUAGCUAGGGGAGUCGAUCUUGUGUUUGGAGUCUGUUAAUGUAUGUGUAAUAAAACCAUACUAGUUAUGUAUUUGAUUCGUCUCUUAGGCUUAACAUUGCAUGCAGCUAUAAUAUUCUUAGAUGACUAAGAACAUAAGAAACAGAGCAGUACUGUUGGUGAUUUACAAGAUUCAAUUUGUAUAACUGAUCUUUGGCUGUCCUAAAUAACCAUCAAGCAGCAAAGCUAAGAACGAACAUAUUAUAUAAACUGCCAGAUGAUCAAGCAACUUUGCAGAGGGACUAUGACGAAACGUCUGAGAACCCAUCUAGCAGCUUAAUUAGAACAAUUUUGCAAAACAAACACAAACUCGUAUACGGUACCGAAAAUAUAAGUAUAACCGUUUGGAAUGUCAAGUUUAUCAAUAUUCUGAAACCAAAUAUCGUCAAUCAAUUAUGAUCUUCUUCAAAGCGAGUAUAUAUUUAGCGUAUCGAUAUAACACUGUAGAUGUCUACGAAAUCAUGCAUUAAGAACAUACCAUUAUAUUCCUUCACUUUUUACAAAAGAAUACCAUUACCGUUAAGCUUUAAUUGACAUACGAUUGUACUUUGUAGUGAUACAUCUAAUUAUAUUGGUCGUGUGGUGCCCUUAGUAUAUUAAAAGGAAAAAAAAAAUUAUUUGGACUCCGAUCAAUUUCCCCCUCUGAAGGCCGCCACAAUAAGCAGAACUAAAGAGACCAAAAGGCCCAAAGGAAACCACAGAAAUUGGCAUAAAGGUACAAGUGCAGCCCAACUUUCUUUCCCUCCAUUUUUGACCCAAAAACAAAAAAACAAAAGAAAACUACUUCCUCCAUUUGUCUUGAUAUAAUUAGGUAAUACAGGUUGCUUCACAGACAUCUCACCCUUCACCAGGAAGGCCCUCAUUUUCUUUUGAAUCUGGUGGCCUUCCUCUUCAUUUACAGAUCCAAAAACCCCCUUAUAUUCUUCUGUACAUAGAUAUUUCUCAAUCCCACAAAUCAAUCCCCAAAACCCUAAUCAAAGAUCCAUCCUUUCCUUCUCCUCUGCCUCAAUCAACAACUGGGUUCAUCAAUUCAGGUACAAAUUGAGUUCCUUUUUCUUCUUCACAGCAAAUGGNNNNNNNNNNNNNNNNNNNNNNNNNNNNNNNNNNNNNNNNNNNNNNNNNNNNNNNNNNNNNNNNNNNNNNNNNNNNNNNNNNNNNNNNNNNNNNNNNNNNNNNNNNNNNNNNNNNNNNNNNNNNNNNNNNNNNNNNNNNNNNNNNNNNNNNNNNNNNNNNNNNNNNNNNNNNNNNNNNNNNNNNNNNNNNNNNNNNNNNNNNNNNNNNNNNNNNNNNNNNNNNNNNNNNNNNNNNNNNNNNNNNNNNNNNNNNNNNNNNNNNNNNNNNNNNNNNNNNNNNNNNNNNNNNNNNNNNNNNNNNNNNNNNNNNNNNNNNNNNNNNNNNNNNNNNNNNNNNNNNNNNNNNNNNNNNNNNNNNNNNNNNNNNNNNNNNNNNNNNNNNNNNNNNNNNNNNNNNNNNNNNNNNNNNNNNNNNNNNNNNNNNNNNNNNNNNNNNNNNNNNNNNNNNNNNNNNNNNNNNNNNNNNNNNNNNNNNNNNNNNNNNNNNNNNNNNNNNNNNNNNNNNNNNNNNNNNNNNNNNNNNNGUCCUGAUCAUCACCUUCCUUGCCUAUGCUUCCUUCCACGCCUCCAGGAAGCCCCCCAGCAUCGUCAAGAGUGUUCUUGGCCCCAACUCCAGUCCAAUUCGAGCUCUUUCGACACCGGUUGGGCUCCCUUUAAUGGCCCUGAUGGCACUCACAGGCUUGGAGAACUUGAUCUUGCAUUUCUAUCUGCAUAUUCUAUUGGAAUGUAUUUUGCAGGGCAUGUUGGUGAUAGGAUUGAUUUGAGGUUGUUUCUUGCUUAUGGGAUGUUAGGGAGUGGAGUUUUGACAUGUCUUUUCGGGUUAGGUUAUUGGUGCAAUGUGCAUAUGUUGUGGUACUUUGUGGGUGUGCAAGUUGUGUGUGGGUUGUUUCAGUCAAUAGGGUGGCCUUGUGUUGUGGCAGUUGUGGGGAAUUGGUUUGGGAAGACGAAAAGGGGGUUGAUAAUGGGUGUGUGGAGUUCACAUACUUCGGUUGGGAACAUUGUGGGAUCGGUUAUUGCUUCCGGGGUUUUGGAAUACGGAUGGGGUUGGUCGUUUGUUGUGCCUGGAGUUUUGGUGAUAUUGGUGGGAGGUUUGGUGUUUUUGUUUCUUCCUGUGAGGCCGGAGGACUUGGGGUUUGAGGUGCCGGGGAAGGAGGAGGUUGAGAUGAAUCUGGAGGUUAAUGGGGUGGUGAAUGUGGAGAAGGUGGAAUCAGAAGAAGCUGGAUUACUUAGAGGGGAAAAUGUAGAUGCUGAUGUUGGUGCUGGGGCGGAAACUUUGACUGCGAUUGGGUUUUUGGAGGCGUGGAGGUUGCCGGGGGUUGCGCCAUUUGCGUUCUGCCUCUUCUUUUCGAAGCUGGUGUCUUACACUUUCCUGUACUGGUUGCCUUUCUACAUAAGGCACACAGGUAAUUCUUUGACUCUGAUGCUCUUGUAUGAUAAACUGAAUUAUUUUGGCAAUGUUUGUGCUUAGGAUCACAAGAAAGAUGCAUGUGCUGUAUGAAAUACCAAAUAGAAUUAAAGAAAUCAGUGUUCAUAACUAUAGAUUUCAAUUUACUUAUUGUAGUUUGGUGUUAUUAUGAACUCGUCAUAUUAAUCAUGACUUCUGUUUUACCUUGUAGCUGUUGCUGGGGUGCAUCUGUCACACAAAACUGCUGGAAACCUUUCUACAAUAUUCGAUAUUGGAGGAGUCCUUGGUGGAAUUCUAGCGGGAUUGAUAUCAGAUAUGCUUGAAGCUCGGGCUGUUACAUCAAUUGCAUUUUUGUUACUUUCAGUCCCAGCCCUUGUUCUCUACAGGGCAUAUGGAAGCUUAUCUAUGUUUGCCAACAUUGUUCUGAUGUUUAUUGCCGGAUUGCUGGUGAAUGGUCCAUAUGCGCUCAUCACAACAGCUGUUGCUGCUGAUCUCGGCACUCAGACCUUAAUCAGAGGCAAUUCUCGUGCCUUGGCUACUGUAACCGCAAUCAUAGAUGGUACGGGGUCUGUUGGAGCAGCUCUUGGUCCUCUUUUGGCAGGCUACAUUUCAACAAGGGGAUGGAACAGCGUUUUCUUGAUGCUAAUUGUUGCUAUAUUUUGUGCCACUUUGUUUUUGAUACGCAUUGCUAGAACUGAGAUUAAAGAGAAGUUGAGCGGGAAAAUAUGGUUUUGGUGUAGCAUAGACACACAAUGAUUGAGAAGUAAUAGACAGAAAUUCUUGUAAGAUUACGGUACAGCAUAGACACAAUGAUUGAGAAGUAAUAGACCGAAACUUUUUGUUUUAGUGUAUUCUUGAAGUCUGAGUAUCAGUUUGAUGACUCUUUGUGCACUUGUGAUAAAAUCGUUAAAGGAAGAAUAUAAAGGGUAAACAACCAAAAUGUUGGAAAGGAAAAGAAGAGUAUGUACAAAUUCAAAGCUAAAAGUACAGUUACAGAACAAUUUAUAAGCAACUGAGAACUGCCUUAACCUCUCAUAUGCAACGCAAUUCCUUACCUCAAAGUUUGAUCUCCAUUAUGUUCUAUUAGUGUACAGACUGUUAUCCCAAAACUUGGCAAUACGAAUGUCUUCUGCAUCCUUCUCAUCUUCUGUAGAAUCAACUGAAGCACUAGAUAUAGAGGAAGCAAGGCUGCAGUCCCUGGAUAUAUAUACAGAAGCCGAAGUUCUUAUUGAUCAAUUCUAAGUUUUAACCUUUGCCCAUCACCAGAAACAUCAACAAAUGGAGCACACUAGUUCAUCUAUUGAUCUAAGAAGAACUGAAGAUUUUGUAGUCCCUCAGCAGAAAUACUACGUCUGACUCUAGACCUUUCGACUACCACAUGUGGAGGUGGCUCCAAGUGGAAACUCACCAUAACAAGUGUCAAAUUGUCAGUUGCACCACGUUUUAUUGCCUCCUCUACUAUUUGCUUGCAACACAGCUUCACAUCAUUGUGCUCUUGGAGUUUCCUUCGAGCAAAGUCUACGGCAUUUUGGUUGGUGAAGACAUCCCAUAUUCCAUCACUACCAAUGAUUAAAAAUUCAUCAUCCUUGGUCAGUGUUGUCAAUUUAAGUUCUGGCUCAGCACUCAAGGGUCCUCCCCUUUCACCUUCAUCCUUCAAUCCUUCAAGAUGCCAAUCACCUAAUGCACGGGUAACCCCUAACUGACCAUUCAGAUAACCAUCAUCAACAUAUCCACCCAAAGACUCAAUCCUCAUCCUUUCUUUUGUGCAGCAGGGUCUAUGAUCUUUUGACAUUUCUAUAGCUGCUCCAUUUCGUGACAAUAUAGCCCUACAAUCUCCGGCAUUCGCCACAAGCAAAGACCUGUCCAACAAUAACGUUUUUUUUUUAUAAGGAACAACAAACAGAACAAAAGUCUGACGAAAACAAACUAAGCAGUAUCAAGAACUUAGACGUGAGAAGGGGCCAACAAAGAGUAGAUGUAAAUGAAGUAAUUCAAUUCCAAUGUAACACCCCAUGUUUGGGCCGGUUACUUCCUUUCCUAUACUUUAAGCACAAGCACCAAGACUAGCAGAUUUUUUCAAUAUAUUGCUUGUAAGACGACAUGAAGUAAAUGCAGCCUAUGAACACUGGAACAAAGAGUUUCUUACCUCCCAAAUAUCAUUGCAGUGAGUGCAGUUGUGCCAGAAGCAAGGGAAGACCGAACAGAGCAAGUUUUUGCAAAUGCAGCAUCUGUCUCAACAAAUGACCUUGUUAUUACCUUUUCAAGCUCUACCGGAAAGUCAGAAUCCUCAACAAUAACUCUUGGCAAGUUGUCACGAACAAAUUGCGCUGCAUCUUUUCCCCCAUGACCAUCAAAUACCUGUUUAAAUUGACAUCGCAUCAUUCAGACCAUGACUUAGAAUGGAAAGCAAAGAAGCAUUGCCAUACAGCGAAGUGUAGUAAACAGAAGAAGGUAAGUGAACUUACACCAUAGAAGGAGAUAGCUUCUUCGUCAUUGAGUACAUUAUAACCAAAUUUCUUAGCCAAGUCACCAAUGCAUAUAUGAGUAUCUUCCAUAUGGGAGCGAAAUCCAAUAUCAGACCACUCUCCUGACCGAAGGGCAGGGACAAAGUGUAACAUGUUCUGUUUUGGAUCUACAACUACUGAAUCCUCAGAUAUGCUUUCCAGCUGAAAGAUUAACAAAAUAACAAAACUUAGAUCAGAUAUAAGUCUCAAGAACAAUUAACUUACGGAACUCAAACUUCUCCCCAACUAAUAUCUAAACUUCUGCAGGACAAACCAACCAUAAAUAAACCUCGGAUUAAAGAACAAAAUUUAAAUAGCACCUAACCAUCAACCAAAUCAGGAUGUUCACAAAAGGGUGGAAAUGAAUUGCUAAAAACAAAGUCAUUAUAUAAAAAGAAAAAGAGUAUGAAACAUCAAUCAUUCUCUUUUUCCCUGUUCUGUAACUUCUUUCAGAUAAACUGAAAUCGAAGCACAAAGAAUAGAAACUGUCCCACACAAGAAUACGAACCUCAAAAUAUCAUAGUUUGAUCAUAAAUAAACACAUUUAUUUGGUAAAAGUUCACCUUCCAGAUUCCCAAUCAUUCACAGCAAGCCAAUUAAAUUGCAGCUUACUAAAAAGGAUUGGUCUUUAACAGUUUAACAUGUGAAAACAGUACAGCAUUAUUAAUCAAGCUGAAAACUUUCAUAUCUGAUACAGUAAAAACCAAUUACUAUAGUAAAGUGCAGAAUCAUGAGUAAUGUCAAUCAUGAACCAAAUAAGAGACCCAAAUCCCAGAGCUCAAUUUCAACCAAAUGGGUCCUAAAAAGUUCCAAACUUGACAACAACCCAACAAAGCUAAGCCAUCAAAGAACACAAAAUUGAUUGAAUUCUCACCUGAAACGAAUUCAACACGGUGCUCUGCUGAUCGGAGCUCAUCACCAUAGAUUCCUUGUUGUUGUUCUCCAUGUUUCCCAUUUCUGCAUCAUUCAAACACAUGCCUUAGUGCUUUGAGAUGAAAGAUUAUAAUGUCGGUGCUAUUUUCAGUGCUUGAAUUCUCAGCAAAGUUGUAGAGGGAAUCAAAUAGUAGAAACAGAGAGAACAGAGGAAAUAUAAACUUGUGGAGAGAAGAAGAUUCUGGGAAUAUGUGAGUGGGAAAUGGGGGCCUCUGUUUUAGACUAUUGACUAUUGAGUAUUUAUCAGAGAGAAAGAUGAAAGAAUGGAGAUUCCAGAUUUUUCUGUGAAAAUGUGGCUGAAAAUCAGUUUGUUGGGUUCUAUAAUAUUAUUAUUCUUGUAACCAAAAAUAAUAAUAAUAUUAUUAUUCUACUGAAAAAAGAAGAAGAAGUUUUUUGGUCUUGCUUCUUGCUUACAGAUGAGGUAAGCUAAAACUGGGACUGUAUUUUGUUGCCUAUUUCCUUGUCUCAAAAUUUAGAGGAGGUAAAGAUGCCAAGUUUUGGUGUUGAUUAAUAUCUAUAUUGUGUUUGACCAAGAUCACCAACUAACAUCUUCACCAAAAAGGGUUCCACUUUCUGAAAUGUCACAACCACUAAAACCAGGUUUAUUUAUCUUAGUGAUUAACUACCGAUAAUCAUAUCAGAGGAAUUAGGCCAUGUGUUGUUAGUGGUUACUGGGUAGGGUGUGUGAUAUUCUCAAAGAAAUGUAAUGGAAAAAGAUUAUGUUAUUAGCAUAACAAGGAUGUGGUUAGGAUAGUAUUCAAAGAUAUAUAUCACAUAUGCUUCAUUGUGGUUAGGAAUAUAAAUUUCAACCUAUGUAGCAUGAAAGAGAUCAAAUCCGAUAUAUUUCAAACACAAUUGAUGAACCUUUGUUUUAUUUAAUCAACAAUAAUUGCCCCCUAAAAAGUUUGAAAGUGAACGGAAAGGUAUGUUCAAUGUGAAAGUGAUCAUGCAAGACAAUGACCUUAGAUUUUUUUUUUUUUUCUUUUUCCCCUCCUUUAUUCUGCCUCAACUUUUUCACAAUAACAAAUCUCCAGAAAAUAUCUUCUCCUCUUAUAUGGAAACUCUGCUCCUUGUUCAUCAAGCACAGUGAUAAUUUGCUGUUCUGGGUCAUUUCAUUUACACCAUUGUUAUUGCCCUUUGCCCAUUUAAAAGGUUUUUCCACAAUAAUAUGAAGCACCACUAUUCUUUCCAGUAACUUCUAUAUUUACAGUUUUGGGUAAAAUUCUUUUGCAAAUGUGAACACAGUGAAGAAAUGGAAUAUAAUUUAGCUGUGAGUCUUUGCUGUCAUAUUCAGAAGUUUGAGCCUAGGAGACGUACUCUGUUAGUUUUCUGGGAAAACUUUAAUUGGUUAGUUGGUAAGUAUUGGUUGAAGGAGAAUCUUCAUCUUUCAGAUGACACAACACACAAGUGAGACUGAUACGUGGCCCAAUUGUUGUCACCCACAAAUUCACUUGUGGUUUCAAACAGAACAGUAACAUAUCAUGAAUUGAUAGUAUGCAAGUGCUUUUGUCAAUGAAUCGAAAUUUUAGAGCUACGUUGGCAACGAUCAGGUUGUUUGUAUGGAUCAAUCGCCUUGCUUGCACGUUUUACAUGGAUCUUCCCUUGUUUAAGCGGUAGGUGAUCAAUCACCAUUUUCUUGUUUGACGAUUUCAUAUAGAACUUCUGGCACCGCGAUUUGAUUAAUAAAUAUAGCUAUAGCUUAGAUUAUGCUCGAUAGCAUUACUCCAACUUACUGUUUUUCAACAAGUUUUAAACACUGGUUUUUAAGAAUCCAUCAUGUUAAGAGUUUUUGUUUUCUGUUUUCAUUACACCAAAAAAAAGAUUUGCCGGAAGAAUCAUGCAGGUUGGUCUGACUCAAAACAAGUUCCACUUCAUCACAAACGCGAUUGCCACAAAAGAAAAGUGGCAAGAACUACGGAAGAACUAAUACGAAUUAAGAUAAUAUGCGCAGUUUUGAUCCUGGACUGAAAACAACAUACCAAAGGAUCUCCAAAAUUCCAAAAUCUAAAUAAUAAUCAAAAGUUUUAACAACAGAAUGGGCAGCACCGUUAACCAUUAAUAGUCUUCUCAAAGUUCAUAAUCAGUUCACCCUAAACCAUCUACAAUAUCACCCUACCAUGAGAAUUAGACUUAACUUCCAGUGAAAGCCUUCUUUCCAAAAGCUGACGACGAUCCAGCGGGAAUCACCUUCAGCACAUUGAACCUCUUGGUCUUGGACAAUGGCCUAAACAUAGACAAACAAAUAAAAGAUGAGCAACGCACACAUAUUAGAACACUCCAUCAAGAGUAGUAGUGGCUUAGAAAUUUGACCUGCACUGCCCGAUGAUAACAUGGUCUCCUUCUUUCACACGGAAGCAUGGAGACACGUGUGCAGCAAUGUUCGAGUGCCUCUUCUCAUAUCUGAAGCAUGAUACGAAACAGAAUAUUUCAGUAUUACAUAAAAGAGCAUCCUUUUACUUUACCACAAUGAAAACAUAACUUGUAGAAAUCAAGAGAAAUGAACUCCAAUACCGUACCUUUGAUACUUCUUGAUAUAAUGCAGGUAAUUCCGUCGAACAAUAAUGGUCUUGUUCAUCUUAGCGCUGUGGCAAGUACCAGCUAAGAUACGUCCCCUGAUAGAGACAUUCCCAGUGAAUGGGCAUUUCUUAUCAAUGUAUGUCCCUGUUAGAUCCCCAAAAAUAUCGAAUCCAUAUCAGCAAAAACACUAAAUGCUCAUCAUCCAAUUACUCAACUCCUCCAAGAGAAAUUAUACUCCCACAUUUCCCUAGUUCAGCUAGGAACAUCUUAUAUCAUCAAGGCUAUACUAAACACACUUUUCGCCAUUCUACGAGAAUUCAAACCAUCCAAUAACAAAGAGCAAUGCGAUCACACAUUUUUGUACUGAAACAAAUCGAUCAAAUUGCCACAAACAAAUCAAAAACUCAAGUAAAACACAACAUGUCCAUACACACACUACUCCAUUUCACAACAAAAUCGAGAGUGCAAUACCUUCGAUGGCAUCCCUCGGGGUCUUGAAGCCGAGCCCGACGCUCUUCCAGAACCGGUUGCCACCUUUUCCAGGUCUCUUUCCCUUUCCGGUUUUCUUCGAGCUAAAAAACCAAAUCAAAACCUUAAGAAAACAAAAAUCAUGAUCAAAUUGAAUAAAAACCAAAUCUUGAUUUUGAAGCUGAGAAAUUCACCUCAAGAACACCUUAGGCUGCUUCAGAAAAGCUUUCUCGGUCUGAAACCAAAUCACACUGUUAGUGAGAGCAACUAAACCCUAACCAAAGAGUAGAGAGAGAGAAAGAGAGAGAGCGAACCUGUUCGGCCAUGAUUGAUUGCUCGGAGAGACGAAGGUGAGUUUCGGCGGAGGCUCGGCGGCAGUUAAGCUCUAAACCCUAAGAUGCACCAGCUGUGAGCUUCUCCUACAAAUUAUAAGGGCGGCAAUUCGGGUCGGUUUGGGCCCAGUUUAAGCCGGUUUUUCUCAUGGGCCAGAAUGGAUUGUACCUUUGGGCCUUAUGAACUAUGUUUAAACACGUGUCCUGAAGGAAGCUGUGAUCAAAAGCAUAGAGCUUGUGGCACAGAUUCUCUCAACCUUUUUUUUUUUAGAAGAAAAAGAAAAUUAUAACGAGACGCUUCUAGGGCAGCCAAUAUUAACAGUAUCUAAAUGGAAUGCUUGCGCAGCCUGAGGAGGAAGCGCACCUAGCCAAAUCUUCAGAGAAUGCAAACUGUACCCGAGAUUUACAAGAGCAUCAGCUAAGAAAUUAACUUCUCGGAAGACAUGAUCAAAGCUGAUAUUAUCAAACUCACUAGCAACAUGAAUGACAACAACUUCUCUCAACUUGAAUAAUAAAUGUUAGAUGUUAUUUGAGACUACUACAAGGACUAACCUAAUAAAGGUUUAUAUCCAUCAUCAGCUCACAACCUUUCUUCAUAUCACCGAAUACAUCCAUCAAGGUGGUAGGGAUGCUGGCUGAAAAUUGAAGCAUAACCCUGAAACCUUUGAUCAUGAAGGCGUCAAGCUCUACGGUUACUAAGAGUCGACGGAGAGGUUCGAAUCCAGGGAGUCUCAUGUACGUUUUGCGAUCGAGCGAGGGCAAGGAGGCAGUUAAAAUUCGACUCCAACUCCAUGAAAACAGGUGUUGGAGAAGAAGGAUAUAUCGAGGAAGGAAUUGAGCUGCUACUCGACAUAUCAAAAAGCAAGUGGAUUCUUGGUUGGUUGAAAAAAAAAAUGGCUAUAUACACUGAUAUACAGGCAGGAUGAAGAAGCUGGAGGAAAAUCUAUCCAAACAUUUCAUGUUGUCAUCCAAUCAGCCACCUGCUGAUCUACUAUAAGAGAUAUACAAGAUAAUUCAAAAACCUCACAUGAAUCACCCCCAAAGAUGAAAUUCGGACUCAUAAUUUCAAGUCAAAUAACUCUCUCAUAUUUAUAUAUCUUCAAAAUCACGUCCCCAGAGCAAAUCAUAACUCAAAAGUUCUACAAUCUUGCUUGAGAUGUAAAAAAAGAAAGCCGAUAUUGACACAAUGAGUAACGCCAUGCACCAUUUGCCGGCAGCAGAAGUACAUGAUUUUGUAACUGAAGAUAACUGAUCACUUUUCACCAUGGAUAGCUGCUUAGACAAGAUAACCUACUCGUUCUGCAUUUUAAGAAGCCAAUACUGUCAGUUCACAAAACCCAGGAGAAACUCUUAAACUUCAGUAUAUAUUUCCUAAUGCUGCGGUGUAAGAUUAUUGUUCCCACAAAGGAUGAUCUCUCUUGAAUUGUAAUUCUUGAACUAAGUUCACUAUGUGACAUCUUUAAGUUAUGCUAUGUAGGACAUUCACUACGAAUUAUAAGAAGCCAUGACUUGGUAGUAAUCGUUAAUUGUAUGCUGUAUGCUUCCACUACUGACUUUAAAAUGUGGGGAAUUUAUUUUAGAGAGACAAUAUGACUAUAACGUAUGGCAACCUUAGAAGCAUCAGUUAAAACAGAAAGAGAGAAUCAAAACAAAAAAUGGAUAAGAUUUUCAACAACAGCACCUUUUGACGUUUUGAACUAGGAGGCUCGUCACAAUCACUCUGACUAUGCCGACGCGAUGUCCCAACAUUGGAAUUUUCCGUCUGCAAAACAUAUACAUGAUGACUUCAAGUUCUCUAUUAUUUAAAUUUUGUUUACUUCAGCCUAAAAUCAAGAUUUACAAAAUGUAAAUUUUCUUUGGCCAUGAUGGGGAAAAAUGCUAACUGAAAUAGAAACCCAAAGCCUGUUGAAACAUGAAGCAUAGAAGGCCAGUAAAUGAUAGAUGGUGUAACAUGCAUACCACGGUGGAAGAGUCUUGGGCCAUUGUGUGCUCAGAAGAAUUUUCCGCUUCUGCAGGUACAUGACCUGGCUCUCUAGUUGCUGCUUGAGAUAUCAAUGGCAUUACUUGAUGAAGCAAAUUAGACAAAAAUAAUCCUUCUUCAGUAACCCUCAGUUCAGCUUCUGGAGCAACAGCAACACCACUAGGUGUCCUUGCCUGAUCUGAUACAGAACUAGAAUUCAUUCCUUGUACACUGCCAUCUUCUACGCGAAUUUCAUCACCAGGAAAGAGAGCCCUUAGUAUAUUUAAAAUACCGCUUGGGACCUGUCUCUCAGAUUCUUGAUCGUUUUGGGUUCCACCAGAUGAAAAAAGGUUGAUACUAACACUUCGUCCAAUGGGGGGAUCUGGUUGCCUUAUAUAGGGAGUUGAUCCUGCAAGACACAGCCAGUAUAAGUAUUUCAACUAGUAUAGCUACUUCAGAGUCUUGGUUAACUAAUGUAGAAGAGACAAACUCAAUCCGGUUGGCGUACUUGGUUUAUAAUUUUGUAAUACUCAACAGAAAGAAAAAAUGGAAAUAUUACCCUCUCUUGCAGGAUCUGUAAUGUUUUCUGAAGAUUGCCGAUCAGUAUGAAGGCCGGCAGGAUGACGAUCACCAGAUGCUUGAGAUACUUGCUCAGCAUUCACAUUUCCAGAAGCUACAUUUUGAGACCUUCCAAGAAAUGGAUAGUAUAACCCAAAUGAACUACCAGCAGACUCCGAUGGUAUGCGACUGCCAAGUACGGUCCUGAUUGGCACUACCCUUGGCCUUACACCCAAAUCUCCAGCAGAAGCUGAACCAUCUGAGAUACUUGGCGCUGUUUGAUUGGCAGGAUUUUCACCACCUGAACUUGGUGCUGCGUUUCUUUGUAAAGGUUGCUGAAGAUCGAGAUGCUCCUCUCGAUUGACAUUGGCAGUGGUCGUUGGUGAACCUUAUGGUGAAAGUAAAUAAUACUUAUACACGGGCAUAUAUUUUACAUCAAACAAGAAGUAGACAGAACAUGGAAUAUAUAACAGGUACCUCUUCGUAUUUGUAUAUCAAUACGCCUUGGAUGAAAACCAGAACCAAAUCCAUUCAGUAGACCAGAACCAGGCUGCAGAGCUCCCAUGGGCAUGGCACCUACACUCAUUCCUGAUUGAAAUGGAAGAGGCUGGCCGAGUAUCAUUCAGUCUCAAUCAGCACAGAUAAACAAACUUCAGAAGAGAGAUUUCAAUCUCUGAUUUAGGUGUAGAAAAAUACCUGAACCAUUAUAGGGUUAGGACCCGUCGGGGAUAUGAAAACUGCAGGUCCAGCAUUAACCACUGCAUCAGACUGUGAGAGAUGAGCCAAAAAAAAAAAUUACACAUCAGAUAAUACUCGAAAGGAAUUUGAUGAGUCAGAAAGCAAAUUUGGAUUCAGAUGAUACCGGUGUUAGGCCCAUUUGCACUGUCAUCAUUGUACGGCCAAGUUCAAGUAAACAGGCACCUAAAUUAUGAAUCACGGCUCCGGUACUCAAUGAACUGGCUUGGAUUCGCCUCCUUACUGAGUGAUCCGUCACAUUUGCUUGAUUCUCCAACUGGCUUGCAAGUUGCUGCAAAGAUGAUGUAGCAUGAAAAAUCACUAUGUCUUUUCGUUUAACAGAAUAAAAUCAAAGAGUCGUAAGCUUGUAGCUAAAUUAUGAGGACACCAGAUAAAAUCAAGCUACUAGCACACUAUCGAAUUUGAAAGGCCAAAUUAUAUACUAGCGACAAUAUAUAGGAAAUUUACAAUUACACUUGAGAACGCACAAGUAGAGAGUCUCCAACUUGUUCAAUGAGUAAUAGUCUAGCAGUACGGAUGACUUCUGCCAAUGAUGCAGGUGAGGGGGGGCCCUCUCGUCUUAUUCCAGAACCAGAUGACGAAUUCGAACUUCCGUCAUUCCUAUGAAUAGCUGCUUGACUCUGUCCUCCAUCUCUGGCUGUUAGUGAAUCAAUAAAAGCAAUUAUAGAAAACCAGAAGCAUAGGUGAAAAAAACAUAAAUUAUCAAAAGACCUAUGGAGAAUACUCACCAAUUGCCUGAAAGUCGCGCCUUAUAUGACUCAGAUAUCGAGAUAAAGUAUUCAACGAAUCAGGAAUCACCUAAAAGGACCACCAAUAAAGCAGAAAAGUCAAUUCAUACAGAUCCAAAUACUAAACAUCAAAGCAGGCAUAAAAUAAAAUGAUAGAAUAAAGUUGGAACUUUAAACUUGCCAGAGGUGGCAGAUUCCCCAAUGAAAAUGCCGCGGACUGACCAAAAGUGUCAUUUGAUCCAUCAGGUUGAGCCCUUGCGGUAGUUUGCUCAGAAAGAAGUUGGGUUAAACCAAACAAACCACUCAAACCUGAUGUCCUUUCUGGCCUAUUUGUCCCAGGAGGAAACUGCAGCAUAUCAACCAUCCAUGUACCAAAUUUAAGAUACAAGUACAGAGAAGUAAUUGACAUUCGACAAAAAGUGGUAUAUGAACGUAGAUUAUACACAAUAUUUAUUAAUUCUCAAGAGGCGCCAUUGCAAUUUCUCUUUUCCUUUCAACAUCAAACAAUGCAAAGAAGCAUGGCUAAAUUUUUUACUUCGGCACCCACCAGACCCGAAUAAGUCAAGUGUGCAGUUACAGGCAUACUUUGGGUCAUAUAAGGUUUAGCUUGAGUUUUUAAAGUUUUAACGUUUACCAUGACAUCAACCCCUUCACUGGCACUUGCAAUAUUUGGAAUUCCGACAGAGCCCAGAACAGCGGAGAGAAACUACACACCAGCAGAGAUAAUAAUAAAAAAACCAUCAUAAUUAGACAUAAUUCGACACGUGGGAACAUAUAUCAUUUAGUUAGUACUCACCCGACUAUAAUCUGGUUGAACAUCCCCCCCAACAGGCAAACUGAAACUUUCAAUGAAGACACUUGAUCGACCACGGCUUGUACUUGAAGCAGGAUCAGUUGCUAAAACCAGUGAAAGCAUGCAAAAAACAGCUGUGAGAUUUAACAAUUGUACCAAUAGAUUGAAAAGAGAAACAUUAGCGUGUCAAAAGCUUAUACCACAAUUUCCAUAGAAGAUGUGGCCAAUCAUAUAUUGUCAAAAGAAACAUUUAAAGAAUAUCAUUAUACGAGUGAUAUCAACCUGAAUGAUCUGCUAGUCCCUCAGAUGAUGGUGGAAUAGGUUGUCUGACAACCAAAUGUAAGGUGUGGCCAUCCUCAACAUCUAAAUCAUGUUAAGAAAAUAUUUGAAAUGCUUCAUAUCAAAAUCUGGUGAGUGAAACUUAUUUAAAAGUAGCAAGGGGCAUAUGAGCUUGACUCAAUAAAUUGAUAUUAAAUCCAUCUUAAGCAGUAACUUAUAGCCGCGCAUAGUUAAUAUCCCAGAUUGAUUGGUGACAUAUUAUACUAGCUAUGUAUCUUGAAGGACGAAGAGAUAAAGCACUCUUAAGUAACAAAGACAGCACAGAGUUUCAAAGCUUCAACUUCUACCAAUCAAAACAUUGAAAACAACAAAAGAAUAGGAUACGAUAGGCGGAGAGAAGCUGAUCAUCCUUGAGAACUUUUCCUCUGCAUAUUAGCCGUUGUUGCUCUGACAGCACACCAGUAACAGAGGCAAUCUGUUCUUUCAAAAUAGGAACUGGCAUCUGCAGUUCAUAAAACAAGAUAUUUAGAAAGCUUCAACAGCACAUAUAAUACCGGCAUGUCCUCACAGGAAUUAUUGAACUAUUCUGGAACUAGCAAGAGUACUUACCUCUUUAUCCACUUUGAGAGUAUAAGUUUGUGAAUCCAAUGUCUUUACUUUUAUCUCUAUCGUGGGCUCACUCAUCAAAAUAUCUUCAGCGCCAGUACUUCCCAUUCUUCUCAGGUCACACCGAUCCCUACAAAGAGGCAAGAGUACAUACAAGUCAUAAUCAUUCCACUUCCUUUUCUCCCCAUGUAUGAUUCUCCAAAAUCUAAACCGAUAUUGUAAACACAAAUUUCACUUAAAAAAAAAACUCGUCCUCACUAUUCUGCACUGACAGAACUAAACUCAAUUCCAAGUCUGCAAACAUGCAACACAACACAAAAACUGCACACAAUGACAUUGUGUAUGACAUAUGAAGCUGCAAAUAAACAUACAUAAACAUCAAACUCUUCUCAACCCAAUAAUCAACCAAAACCCAAAAACAACAAAACCCUCUUCAACUGAACCAACUCAAUUCCCAAUUCAACAACAUGCAAUCCUCACAUCACCAAACCCCAAGAAAUCCUAGGGUUUCAGACCCAACAAAAACAUACACACACAAUAAAGACUCAAACUUUCGCAACCAGCAACCGCAAAACUCGUAUCCGGCAAGCACCCAAUAAUAACCAGACCCGAACCCGCCCGAAAACCCGACUCACCCACCUAGAAACCGGAAAAACGAAAACCCCAAUUCGGCCACGAUCAAGAUUCAAGAAGCUGUACCUGGUUCGCCAAAAGACCAAAACUUUAAGCUUGAAUUGUCGGAUUUAGCCCUCCGGAGACGAGAACGGUCUCGGCGUCUGUGUCGUCUUCGGCGGUGGCGGUCGUCGGUGUGUGCCAGUAAAAUGAAGGACGACGACGAUGACGAUGACUCGAGGGAGGGAAAAAUAUCGGGUGGUGUCACGAAACCCUGUAAUAAUAAAGUUAUAGAACUUUUUUACCUCUUGUAAAUUUACCCUUUUGUCUUUUUUCGAUUUUCACCGCGUGCUUUUUUACUCUCGGGCUGAUUUGGAAUGGUAAAAAGAGGAGGGCAAAUUCACCACGUGGGACCCACACACACCUGGGGAGAUUUUGUUUUUGUCCAUUUUAGGUUAGAAUGUAAGAAAUAAGAUUAUGGGAUACGUGGUUCACCUAAUCAGAGAAUCAUGGUCAAUCAUUCUGAAUGUAAAUUUAAUGGUGAAAAGUAUUAUUUUAAAGUUAAAUUAUUUUGUUUUUAAAUCUUAGAUUUAAAUCUAACAGUGGUACUAAUGAGUUAUUGACUUAUUGGCAAUAUACACGAGUAUUACGAAUGUAAUUCAAAAGAACAAUGGUUGAAGAUUAUCAACUCAAUUUGAAUCUUGUUUUUUUUUUUUCUAUUUGUUAAUGCUUUUGUAAUUUAAUCGUUAGUCUCUCCGUCUUUGGCUAAUUCUCCAACUCCUAACGAGUUAAGUGUUAGUAAAUAAAUAUUCCUUCUUCAAAAGGAAACCAUACUUACCAAAGAAUAAUAGAAGGACAAACCCCGAUAGUGGCGCGCGCGCAGCUAGGUUUAGUUUUGGAAAGAUUUUAUAACUUCCAUACAGAACAAGGAAAUAAAAGGAAUUACCUCAAUGGAAGAGGAAAUAGUACGUGCAUGGGAGUGAUGGGACCUAUAAAUAGCUAGGUUAGUUAAUUACCUGAGCCACGCCAAGUUAACCAGUCUCGAUCAAACACUGCUUCAUAGUCUCAAUCACCAAACUAUGUCAAAAUCAGUGAUUCUUGUGGAGGAGAUCGACAAGUUCCGAUAUCGUAGCGAGAUUCAAGUAAAAGAUAUAAUCAGCUCAUCCACAAAGAGAAACUGGCACUCGUUGUCAGAGUUCCACCCUAGCGAGGUGGUUGUGUUCGAGUUUACUCUCACCAGGUCUUCAGAAAUAAUUGAUUCGGUACUCUUUUCCGAUCGAAAGCCGGUUAUAGUCCACCGUUCCGAGCUCUUCGACGGCGUCGAUACUUUGAUGCAUAAGGUGGUUGAGGUCACGAAAGAGGCUCUUAGAAGCAUGCGUGCUCCAGACGAGUACCUGCCGGAUACAAUUGCAAAGAUUUUCGACGUGGUUCGGUGCCUGGCAAGAGACAUGAAUCACCGUAAUGAAGUUUCCGUUAAUGUGGACAUAAAUUACUGUCAACUUAUUGAUCAUGGUGAUGAUGACAAUAGGGUUUCAGGCCAAGGAUCGAUGUCAAUGAAUUUCGGGUGGGGGUCAUUAAUGGAACCUCUUGAUAAUGAUGACGGAGUCUUCAAAGUUUCUGGCUUCGCCAACCCUAAUGAUGCAACUAAAUCAGCCAUUGAGAAGUUGGAGAAAGAGACUUGCAAGUUCAUGAUGUGCUACUUGUAGCAAUUUUGUUGAAACUUUCGGCAAGAUUACUUGCGAAUCUAACAACAUCGAGCUAUUGUUUUGAUUUUCAUGUUAAAGUUCUUAGAUACGAGUUUAUAUAUGCUCAUGGUGCUCAAAUUUAAUUCGUAAUUAAUAAUCUUUCACCAUUCUAAUUGAGAAACUUUCGCUGCUAAAUUAAACCGACUUCAAACUCUAACUUUAGUACCAAACGGACAAGAAUUUAUUUAUUCAUCAUGCCAUCAAGUCGAUUACAUGAUCAAAUUAUUGUUGCUAACAAACUAUAGGGAAAACAAACUACAUGUAAUAAUAGAUAGCUAAUUAGAAGAUCAAAUUCCAAAUCAUCAUCUAGCAUUGUCGAAGUCGAAUAAUAAGACUGAUGAUCUCUGCUCGUUCCCAUCAUUAUUCUAGUCUGCAACAUAAUUAAACAACUCAUCAAUUCACUAAAAUUUCACACAAAUUGGCUAGAAGGAGUAUGCAUGGCUGACCAAGUUAUGACAUACCUGAUUAAAACAUGGCUGGGGGUGGCGGGCUUACAUUCAUGCAUAUUGCAAUACACACAGGUAUACAAGCCGCCGGUGGAAUAUCCCUUGGUAUAUUGAAUCGUUUCCAACCAGGAGGACUGGGUGGAGAUCUAGGAGGUGUAGGAGCUACCGGAGCAGGGGGAGGGGGAGUACCAGGAGGGGUAGGAGCUUGCGGAGCUGGGGGAGGCGGAGUACCAGGAGGCGUAGGAGCUUGCGGAGUUGGGGGAGGUGGAGUACCAGGCGGUGUAGGAGCUUCAGGAGCUGGAGGAGGGGGAGUACCAGGAGUUGUAGGAGUUGGGGGAGUAACCGGAGCUGGUGGAGUAACCGGAGUUGGGGGAGUAACCGGAGCUGGUGGAGUAACCGGAGUUGGGGGAGUAACCGGAGCUGGUGGAGUAACUGGAGUUGGGGGGGUUCUAGGAGUUGGGGGGUUUCUAGGAGUCGGGCGAGUUCCUCUGCGACGCCAAAAGAACCUGCUAUAGGUUUGUGAUGCAUCAAAGAUGGAGGCACAAUCAGCGCUACAUUGGAUGGCACAAAGAGAAACAUCAGCUACAUUAGGACUUGGUGGUGGUGUUGGCGGUUGUGGAAGAACAUCUGGUGGGGGUGAUGGAGGUUGUGGAAGGACAUCUGGAGGCGGAGGUAGGGUAGCCACAGCUGGAGGUGGAGAUGGUGGUACUAACGCCGUGGAAGGGUCAUGGCUGGGAACGGGAGGUGUAACUAAGCUCACUUGAGCUUGCAACACAACGGAAUGAAGGAGCACAAACAUAAGCACGGUAAAAAUCCUCAUGUUUUCUAGGCACUUUUGCUUGACUGCUUCUUUUUUCUGUAGAUGAUAAAAAAUGUACAGUAUGUGGCCUCUAUAUAUAGCCAUACAAGUGAUACAACGUACCCUUCAAGUUAUCAAUCCUGAGCUCAUGAUCGAUGAUCUCCUCUUAUCAAUCAAAUCAAUUACAAUUUGAUUUAUGUACUAGGAUCAUAAUUACACAUACAUUAUAAAUUUAUCUAUCAAUUACAUAUUAUCGAUCUAAUCUUACCUGACCGUCAAUUGUCAACAAUCAUGACCAAGUACGUAAUUAAACAAGAGGUUAACUAGAGAAAUAAUUAGCUGUAUCAAAUUAUCAAUCAUGAGCUCAUGAUCUUCUCUCAUCAAUCAAAUUAAUUACAAUUUGAAUUUGAUUAUGUGUUCGAUCCUAUGAUAUACACACAGUAAAUCAUAUCUCUCAAUCACAUCUUAUAUGAUCUUAUCUGGCCGUAUUCACACAAUUAACAAAGAUAAAUUUUUGAUUAUUGAUUGUUAAAGAACUUUGUUUGAUCACUUAAUAGUUUGAUAUCCUUAACGAAUCAAAAAUACGCUAAUCCAUGUACAUCACGACUCUAAGAAAAAUAGGAUUAGAAAAUCUCAGAGUUAUGAUGAAUAAGCCAUAUAAUUUAGGUUUUCCCAAUUCCAUCAUUUCUAUAUAUGGAUUUAUGUGGUUGCAAACUAUACUUUACCAUAAUUUAAUUAUUAGUUGAAUACAUACAUAAGAUGAACCAGCUGCAUGCCAACAACAAAACAUGUAUAUGACAUCUUGUUAAUGUAUACGUAUUUUCUCAUGUGAUUUAACGUAAAAUGUAAUGAGAUUGAUUAANNNNNNNNNNNNNNNNNNNNCACAAUCUUCAAAAAUCAAAAUGAUCGAAUUAGAACAUAUAUCAAUUGUUACCAUAUUGGUCUUGUUACCUUGCAAAAAGAAUCCACUUUCAAUUAGCUCUAUGAUUCUCAUUCAAUUUACAGCUUUCUGAAACCGUGUUUGAUUCUUCGGCUUAGAAAACACACAGCCUACGACUAGGAAAGACUUAUUUAUCAAAUCGCAGCCUACGACUAUAUCUGAAAGGCUUGUAAGAAACAUAGGAAUAUGAGGAUGUUCCUAGCACCCUUGAUUGAUGUAAAAAUAAAGGGGAGUGUAGACUUUAGGAGGAGUCUAACACACAUACACUAUCAUAGGUGUGUUGUGCUAUUUUUCCCUUCGACCAAGAUUUAUUUUAUCCCACUGGGUUUUGUUACUUGGCAAGGUUUUUAAUGAGGCAACACCACAUGCACCAUUUCGUCUUUGACUUGGCUCAAGGGGGAGUGUUGAAGGAAAAACACAUUUAUGUGUGUCUUCGUUAAAGUCGUAACCGGAGAGUAAAUUAUGUAAUUAGUGAUCAAUUAGUGUAAUUGCUCAAUCAGUUAUCAAUCAAAUUUUAUUGUCAUUAUAUACGUUAUAGUUACAUUUGUAAUAUCACCUCUAUAUAAAGAGGAGCUUCAAUCAAAUAAGUAGACCAAUUCCAUUUUUCCUGUAACAGGUUAUGUAUUAGUAUUUUCCCAUGUGAUUUUACAUAAAAUGCAAUGAGAUUGAUUUAUACAUUAUGCACAUACGAAAAAAAACAAAAAACAUGUGAGCCCACAUGUACCCUGCAAUCAAUAUGGUGGGAGCAGAAUCGCCGUGAGCCCAAAAUGCCAUGAUCGAUCAGCAAAUCCCUUGCAGCAUAUACCUACUCAAUCAGUGAACAUGUACACCACGCCCAGGACUUCAAUAUUUCUAUCUACAUACGUUGUUGUUCGCUCUUUUUUCUUAAAGAGCUCAACAAAAUCCCAGUAGCUAGAAUGAUCCAAAUCAUUGUUUAAAAGCAGCAUAACGAUAAGAAUCAAGCAUUACUAGAUUUUUAGAAUAUUACUUUACUAUAUACGCACAAAAGUUGAUACAUAUAUCAUUCCUAACCCUAAAAUUCUGCAGCAUUUCUGUAAUGCUGUCCAGUACGUACUUAAAUACUAAUUCUAGCUAGCUGGCUAUAUAUUAUUCCUCUUAAUUAAUUUAUUGGUCUGUAACAGUACUCGACUGAGGAGUAGUAAUGCUUAGUUUUGAUUUACAUCGAUAUUGAUCGAUCAGUUGUGUAUCGGAGGUUUUUUCCUGGCCGGAGAAUAAUCCAUUUCGGUCAGGUCUAUGAGGUUUGGAUAUUGUUGUCGGGUGGUUGCAACCUCCUCCUCAGCUUUCGGAUUCCCAAUUUGCUUGCCAACAAUAUUCUUCUCGUUCUGUACAUACAUAGAUCGAAGUAAUUAGUCCAUUGCUAGCUAGCUAAUUACAUACUGAUCCAAUUACUUUUUGAUUAAUAAGUAUUCGUUAUUGAUGAACAAUAACCAACCUUUGAAGUGGUGGUAGAAGAUCUCACAGUUAUUAGUUUUCUACUGCUUCCUGCAACAAUAGAAAUGAAGCCACUAAUUAGGUAUGGUCCUUUUUUAUCACUAUAAAGUUUAGUUGCACUAGCAUAAAUAUCAGUUAAUCAUAUACAUAAUGGCUUGUAAAGAUCUAGUAACUAGUACUAAUUAUAACAAGUCAGUAGUUAGACUAUAGUUCAGCUGGGACAAGGGCCUGGGACAACAUGUGUUCUGUAGCUAAAUUGAUUAAUACAUGGUAUUUAAGCUAGAGGGGUUCCGAUCUUCUGAAACCCAACUGAUCUGUCAUGAAGAACGACAUGCAUUAUAGCCGGACAAUCAAAAAAUGAAAAAGCGUCAAUCGAUCGAGAAGAAAGAAAUGGAUCUAUCUAUAUCUAAUCUACUCAUGAAGCUAAGAAGGAAUAUAUGAAUGUAAUUAACUAAUGGUGCUUGGAUCUGUGUCUCCUAGGUCCACAGUAAUCUUCAUGAAUGCUUGGUAACCAGUGGUGUGAGUGUGAUGAUGCGGAGGACUUCUCGGACGACGAUAUCGCUGAGGAAGAAGAAGAUCUAGAAACUUUAAAUUUCUUCAAGCUAGUAGUACCUGAUGAUGAGCAGUGAUCAUCAUGUCCACAAUCUUUUCUGAGUACACCAGAAGCUGCAGUGCUUUCACUUUUUUUGGUUAAAACAGUACUAUCCUCCUGAAACAUUCAAGAACAAUUAUAUCAGUUUUAGAUCCAAACAUAGAGGAAAAGAAAUGUAAGAAACCUCAAAAAGAAAAGACAAAAGGUACCCACAUGAAUAUUCUUGUUUUGUUGUUUAACUGAGAUAAAUCCUUUCUCCAAUCGGAUCCCUUCAAUACAAGAUAACCAGAAACUCACUUCAGAACCAAUUCCAAUUGCAAUGAUAUAUAUAUAUAUAUAUAUAUAUAUAUAUAUAUAUAUAUAUACAUCCAAAACAAGAUCCUGAUUCAUCUCAUACUUGAAAAAUGCAAUUAUAUAUAUAAAUGGUGCAUACCUUGAGCCUGCGGAAGGAGAAGGAACAGAAGAAGAAGAAGAGAGACUGCUAGAGGUGGUGUAGUACUCAUCUGGACUAAGGCUUAGUUAUGAUGAUAUUUCAAAAGAAAGAUUGAAGAUCAAAGCUGCAAUUGCUAGUAGAAUCAAAUAGAUCAAAUAUAGGAAUGAAUGGAUUGGAGGAAUUAGUAAAUGUUGUCAGGAACAAAGAUCUCUUUUCUCUGCAGGUUUCUCUCACUUUCUGUUCAACAAUUUAAGUUCAAGUAGAGGAAGUCUGUGAAUGAAGGAAUGGUACCUAGCUAGCUGCUUAUAUAGUUAAAUACAUAUAGAUAUGUAGGUCCAUAUUAACUUCUCCAACAUGAUCGAGCUUAAUUUAAUGGGAUCAAUUUAUCAUGGAGACCCAAAUCGACCAAAAAUAAAUUAUGAGGACCCGGCAUUGUCGAACAUUAUUAUGAAAAAGGCCAAUAAUAUAUAGGAAGCAUGGGAAAAGUGCAUUUUAUUUGCUUUUCAUUAGUCCCAUCUUUUUGGGGUAUAAUGAGGGUUUUCAUGAAUCCUGAUCGUUCUUCAAAUUCAAAUCUCGUUUUAUAUAAAUACAUAAUGAAAUGAACAGUUUACAGUCUAAUAGCUAGCUAGGCAUGCAUGCCUUUGGAUCUUUUCAGAUCGAGGUAUGAUGCAUCAAUCACAAUAUCACAUUUCAGGUUGUGUCUCAAUUUUCAUGCAACAAACUGGGUCUUUUCGGUUGUGGGAUUAGACUGUCUCAUUAUUUUGGUUAGUCAACGAAGCUACAUGAGGACUUGAGGUAGAAGCACAAGAACUAAUCAUGCAUAUAGAAACAGAAGGUAUGGAUACGACGCCUGCAUUUGAUAUUAUAUCCAUCUUGUGAAAAAUAACCUAUCAGUUACAUGGUAGGGCAUAACAGAGAGAGGGAUGGGACAUUUCAAGAAAGAAUACAAACAAGGCUCUCAUCAUUUCUAUGGGUAAAGGAAAGAAAUUUCACUCUAGGAAGUAAAAUACAUGGUAAACUUGUCCUUCUUUGAUAUCUAGGUCGUUUGUGAGGAUUUCAGUCGCGAAUCGUAUAUCAUAAAUCAAUAUCAUUGCAGCCAUUGCUUCAUUUUUACCAUGAUAACCUAGCUAGCUUUCGAAUUUCUGCCUCCAUAUUUCAACCCUUUCAAAACAAAAACAAAAAAACAGAGCGGGCAGCAGCCCACGCAUCAAGCAACAAGCGCAGUUAAUUUGACGGCGACAGGCAAACUCAGAGCCACCGUUUCUCAUCGCCAAACCACCGACGACCCGACGUGGCAGCAUGUUUCAUGCCUCGGCUACCGGCCCCCGCCCAACCUAGUGGUGGCCAGUCGGCCCACUCCACGUGGACGUCCACAUCCCGGUCACCGCCGUAUCACGAGCCAUGUCUGUUAUUUCGCCGUCACCCAAGCAUCCCCGAUGGGGACCUUGUCGAAACCAAACCUUUCGUCGCCGAUUCUUCUUUUCCGUGGCGAAAUGGUUCUAGGGUUUAGAAACCUUUCGUUGCUUUUGAUUUCUGUGUCGGAUAUGGUUUUAAACACGUUGUUCAUCUCGUAUUCAAAGGAAAAGACAAACAGAAAAAUCAACAUCUUUUGAACAAAGCGAAAUAGUUUUCUUGAAUGAUUAAUCACUCAUCAGUGAAGCUAAAAGCCGAUCUGGACCUCACUAACUUUAGAGAACCUGUUACGGAGCUUGCUAAGUUCUGUUUGUGCUUUCUGUCAUAGAAAAAUGCUCAAGCUGCUAUCAAAUGACCUAACCAGCUAUAUAAAGGUACGCUAAUUAUAAACUAAUCACUCUUAAAGUAUCCUGUAGACUCCUGCUGCCUUUUGUAAAUCCUUUUCAAUUAUCCUCAUUUUGUACGUGCAUCUAAAUUAACUAGUUAAUUAUCAUCGAAUAUGCAGAAAAGAAUGAAUUGAUAUUCUUGUUUAGUCCCUCUCAGGAGUUUCAGGAUCAGAAUAUACAACUAAUCAAAGUGUAGUGACUGUUAUUUGUUGAAUACAAAUGAUUGUUGAAACGAAUUAUAAGAUUUAAAGAGUCAUGGGAUGAAUAUUAGUUAAUGUGUAAGUUACUUUUAAACUAAUCAAGUUGGAUUUGAUUACAUGCAGGUGGUUAUUUACAUAUAGAUUGAGCCGACAGCGAGACAUUACAUGUUUUUAGGGUUGAGCUAAUGUUCGAAAUAGGACCACCAUUGUCAACCGAUUUCAAAGCUGAACAUUUCGUUGAUCUAGAGACAUGUUUUGUGGUGGCGUGUCUGGUUACAAUACUCGUUUACAACCAGAUAAUCCAAUACGAUGAUUUCAUAUAUAUAUAUAUGUUCGAUUAAGACAUAGAUAGUUUAAGAUUUACGUACACCAUAUGUGUGUGUAUAUAUAUAUGUAUAUAUAACAUUUCUUGGAUUUCAGAUAAAGAUUGAGUUUCACACAUAAUGAAAUAAAAGCUACGUACUCGAUAUCUCUACGUGCUCGAUGCAUCAUACCAUUGUAGCACAAAAAAAAAAAGAUAUCUCUACGUGUUAUAAAUCUUGCUCGAUCUCCUGGCCUUUUAUUCCUGAACUUCUCAAACCUCGACUAAUAGUGUUGUCAUUCAUAUGUCGAAGAAAAGGAUCAAAUUUCAUGUGAUCAUCGUUUACCAUACCAAAGAAUUCCUCUCCAUAAGACUAGGUCCUGGAAGCUGGAACAUGCAAGAAAAAAUUGACCAAAAAAAGAA
rnacentral:lncRNA from 1 species